rnacentral:tRNA from 1 species
GCGGAAGUAGUUAAGUGGUAGAAUACAACCUUGCCAAGGUUGGGGUCGCGGGUUCGAAUCCCGUCUUCCGCUCCA